CUGCCGCAGCUUCGCUGAUGUGCGACGGAGUCUCGUUGCUGCGGUAGAGAGUUUGAGACGUCCAUCGCACCGUACUGAAGGUUCUUCGGUACGGCCCGAACACGGGAGAGAACGCUGAGCGUUACAAC
rnacentral:ncRNA from 1 species